rnacentral:rRNA from 1 species
CACGUAGGGGGCAAGCGUUGUCCGGAUUUAUUGGGCGUAAAGAGCUCGUAGGCGGCUCAGUAAGUCGGGUGUGAAACCUCCAGGCUCAACCUGGAGACGCCACCUGAUACUGCUGUGGCUAGAGUCCGGUAGGGGAGCGUGGAAUUCCUGGUGUAGCGGUGAAAUGCGCAGAUAUCAGGAGGAACACCAGCGGCGAAGGCGGCGCUCUGGGCCGGUACUGACGCUGAGGAGCGAAAGCGUGGGUAGCAAACAGG